ensembl:lncRNA
GGAGAGAGCUGCAUGAUACUGGAGGACAAGACACCAAGCCCCUCAAGGGACUCAGGCAGUUGGCUUUUCUCCUCUCCAGAGCACCAACUGAAACAAACCACUCAGCCAGAAUGAACAGAGCAGGACUAUGUUUCACUUUACUACUACUGGGGUGUGUACAUGGGGGGAAGCCCUCUCAAAAGGAUGUGGUGUUUAGUAGGGGCAUCCAGCUCUUUGUAGAAGGUUUGAACCCUUCUGAUCCAUCUGUACUCAUUCUCUCCUCAUUCGGGAGUGAUCCUGGUGCUUCACACACACCUACGCUGGUGUGUGUCCUCAGUGGUUUACACACACACCUGGUGGACAUCAUUUGGUGGAUCAACAACACCGUGGUUACCCCAGAGAACAAUGUUGUUUGGAGUUCCAGAGGAAGCAAUGGCAUGUACAUGGCUACUGGACUAUGGACUGUGUCUGGAAAGGACUGGAAGCCACAGAAUUACUACCAGUGUGGAACCAGACAUGAAGGAAAGCUUUAUAUAAAUGUAACACAGUCCUCACUUUGCAGGGAUUUUACUUAAUUACAAAUGUUUGUUGAUUUAUCAAAAAUGAUCUGUACUUGACAGCCUCCUUUGCAUUUAAUGUACAGUCUUUAAACGUAUUAAAAUAUGGAUGCA